rnacentral:rRNA from 1 species
UACGUAGGGCGCAAGCGUUGUCCGGAUUUAUUGGGCGUAAAGAGCGCGUAGGCGGCUUGGUAGGUCCGGUGUGAAAACUCGAGGCUCAACCUCGAGAUGUCGGCGGAAACCGCUUGGCUAGAGUCCGGAAGAGGAGAGUGGAAUUCCUGGUGUAGCGGUGAAAUGCGCAGAUAUCAGGAAGAACACCUAUGGCGAAGGCAGCUCUCUGGGACGGUACUGACGCUGAGACGCGAAAGCGUGGGGAGCGAACAGG